GAUGAACGCUAGCUACAGGCUUAACACAUGCAAGUCGAGGGGCAGCAGGGAUUUAGCUUGCUAAAUCCGCUGGCGACCGGCGCACGGGUGCGUAACGCGUAUCCAACUUUCCCGUUACUCAGGGAUAGCCUUCCGAAAGGGAGAUUAAUACCUGAUGGUGUUUGAAAUCCGCAUGUUCUUCAAACUAAAGAUUUAUCGGUAACGGAUAGGGAUGCGUGACAUUAGAUAGUAGGCGGGGUAACGGCCCACCUAGUCUACGAUGUCUAGGGGUUCUGAGAGGAAGGUCCCCCACACUGGAACUGAGACACGGUCCAGACUCCUACGGGAGGCAGCAGUGAGGAAUAUUGGUCAAUGGUCGGAAGACUGAACCAGCCAAGUAGCGUGAAGGAUGAAGGUUCUAUGGAUUGAAACUUCUUUUANAUAGGAAUAAAACCUCCCACGUGUGGGAGCUUGUAUGUACUAUAUGAAUAAGCAUCGGCUAACUCCGUG
rnacentral:rRNA from 1 species